rnacentral:rRNA from 1 species
AUUGAACGCUGGCGGCAUGCUUUACACAUGCAAGUCGAGCGGAGAUGAGGUGCUUGCACCUUAUCUUAGCGGCGGACGGGUGAGUAAUGCUUAGGAAUCUGCCUAUUAGUGGGGGACAACAUUCCGAAAGGAAUGCUAAUACCGCAUACGCCCUACGGGGGAAAGCAGGGGAUCUUCGGACCUUGCGCUAAUAGAUGAGCCUAAGUCGGAUUAGCUAGUUGGUGGGGUAAAGGCCUACCAAGGCAACGAUCUGUAGCGGGUCUGAGAGGAUGAUCCGCCACACUGGGACUGAGACACGGCCCAGACCCCUACGGGAGGCAGCAGUGGGGAAUAUUGGACAAUGGGCGGAAGCCUGAUCCAGCCAUGCCGCGUGUGUGAAGAAGGCCUUUUGGUUGUAAAGCACUUUAAGCGAGGAGGAGGCUACCUAGAUUAAUACUCUAGGAUAGUGGACGUUACUCGCAGAAUAAGCACCGGCUAACUCUGUGCCAGCCGCCGCAGUAACAC